rnacentral:rRNA from 1 species
UUAAGUUAUUAAGGGCGCACGGUGGAUGCCUUGGCACUAGAAGCCGAUGAAGGACGUUACUAACGACGAUAUGCUUUGGGGAGCUGUAAGUAAGCUUUGAUCCAGAGAUUUCCGAAUGGGGAAACCCAGCAUGAGUUAUGUCAUGUUAUCGAUAUGUGAAUACAUAGCAUAUCAGAAGGCACACCCGGAGAACUGAAACAUCUUAGUACCCGGAGGAAGAGAAAGAAAAUUCGAUUCCCUUAGUAGCGGCGAGCGAAACGGGAAGAGCCCAAACCAACAAGCUUGCUUGUUGGGGUUGUAGGACACUCUAUACGGAGUUACAAAGGACGACAUUAGACGAAUCAUCUGGAAAGAUGAAUCAAAGAAGGUAAUAAUCCUGUAGUCGAAAAUGUUGUCUCUCUUGAGUGGAUCCUGAGUACGACGGAGCACGUGAAAUUCCGUCGGAAUCUGGGAGGACCAUCUCCUAAGGCUAAAUACUCUCUAGUGACCGAUAGUGAACCAGUACCGUGAGGGAAAGGUGAAAAGCACCCGGAAGGGGAGUGAAAUAGAACCUGAAACCGUGUGCUUACAAGUAGUCAGAGCCCGUUAAUGGGUGAUGGCGUGCCUUUUGUAGAAUGAACCGGCGAGUUACGAUUUGAUGCAAGGUUAAGCAGUAAAUGUGGAGCCGUAGCGAAAGCGAGUCUGAAUAGGGCGUUUAGUAUUUGGUCGUAGACCCGAAACCAGGUGAUCUACCCUUGGUCAGGUUGAAGUUCAGGUAACACUGAAUGGAGGACCGAACCGACUUACGUUGAAAAGUGAGCGGAUGAACUGAGGGUAGCGGAGAAAUUCCAAUCGAACCUGGAGAUAGCUGGUUCUCUCCGAAAUAGCUUUAGGGCUAGCCUCAAGUGAUGAUUAUUGGAGGUAGAGCACUGUUUGGACGAGGGGCCCCUCUCGGGUUACCGAAUUCAGACAAACUCCGAAUGCCAAUUAAUUUAACUUGGGAGUCAGAACAUGGGUGAUAAGGUCCGUGUUCGAAAGGGAAACAGCCCAGACCACCAGCUAAGGUCCCAAAAUAUAUGUUAAGUGGAAAGGAUGUGGCGUUGCCCAGACAACUAGGAUGUUGGCUUAGAAGCAGCCAUCAUUUAAAGAGUGCGUAAUAGCUCACUAGUCGAGUGACACUGCGCCGAAAAUGUACCGGGGCUAAACAUAUUACCGAAGCUGUGGAUUGUCCUUUGGACAAUGGUAGGAGAGCGUUCUAAGGGCGUUGAAGCAUGAUCGUAAGGACAUGUGGAGCGCUUAGAAGUGAGAAUGCCGGUGUGAGUAGCGAAAGACGGGUGAGAAUCCCGUCCACCGAUUGACUAAGGUUUCCAGAGGAAGGCUCGUCCGCUCUGGGUUAGUCGGGUCCUAAGCUGAGGCCGACAGGCGUAGGCGAUGGAUAACAGGUUGAUAUUCCUGUACCACCUAUAAUCGUUUUAAUCGAUGGGGGGACGCAGUAGGAUAGGCGAAGCGUGCGAUUGGAUUGCACGUCUAAGCAGUAAGGCUGAGUAUUAGGCAAAUCCGGUACUCGUUAAGGCUGAGCUGUGAUGGGGAGAAGACAUUGUGUCUUCGAGUCGUUGAUUCACACUGCCGAGAAAAGCCUCUAGAUAGAAAAUAGGUGCCCGUACCGCAAACCGACACAGGUAGUCAAGAUGAGAAUUCUAAGGUGAGCGAGCGAACUCUCGUUAAGGAACUCGGCAAAAUGACCCGUAACUUCGGGAGAAGGGGUGCUCUUUAGGGUUAACGCCCAGAAGAGCCGCAGUGAAUAGGCCAAGCGACUGUUUAUCAAAAACACAGGUCUCUGCUAAACCGUAAGGUGAUGUAUAGGGGCUGACGCCUGCCCGGUGCUGGAAGGUUAAGAGGAGUGGUUAGCUUCUGCGAAGCUACGAAUCGAAGCCCCAGUAAACGGCGGCCGUAACUAUAACGGUCCUAAGGUAGCGAAAUUCCUUGUCGGGUAAGUUCCGACCCGCACGAAAGGCGUAACGAUUUGGGCACUGUCUCAACGAGAGACUCGGUGAAAUCAUAGUACCUGUGAAGAUGCAGGUUACCCGCGACAGGACGGAAAGACCCCGUGGAGCUUUACUGUAGCCUGAUAUUGAAAUUCGGCACAGCUUGUACAGGAUAGGUAGGAGCCUUUGAAACGUGAGCGCUAGCUUACGUGGAGGCGCUGGUGGGAUACUACCCUAGCUGUGUUGGCUUUCUAACCCGCACCACUUAUCGUGGUGGGAGACAGUGUCAGGCGGGCAGUUUGACUGGGGCGGUCGCCUCCUAAAAGGUAACGGAGGCGCUCAAAGGUUCCCUCAGAAUGGUUGGAAAUCAUUCAUAGAGUGUAAAGGCAUAAGGGAGCUUGACUGCGAGACCUACAAGUCGAGCAGGGUCGAAAGACGGACUUAGUGAUCCGGUGGUUCCGCAUGGAAGGGCCAUCGCUCAACGGAUAAAAGCUACCCCGGGGAUAACAGGCUUAUCUCCCCAAGAGUUCACAUCGACGGGGAGGUUUGGCACCUCGAUGUCGGCUCAUCGCAUCCUGGGGCUGUAGUCGGUCCCAAGGGUUGGGCUGUUCGCCCAUUAAAGCGGUACGCGAGCUGGGUUCAGAACGUCGUGAGACAGUUCGGUCCCUAUCCGUCGUGGGCGUAGGAAAUUUGAGAGGAGCUGUCCUUAGUACGAGAGGACCGGGAUGGACAUACCUCUGGUGUACCAGUUGUCGUGCCAACGGCAUAGCUGGGUAGCUAUGUGUGGACGGGAUAAGUGCUGAAAGCAUCUAAGCAUGAAGCCCCCCUCAAGAUGAGAUUUCCCAACUUCGGUUAUAAGAUCCCUCAAAGAUGAUGAGGUUAAUAGGUUCGAGGUGGAAGCAUGGUGACAUGUGGAGCUGACGAAUACUAAUCGAUCGAAGACUUAAUCAA